ensembl:miRNA Gm44458 predicted gene, 44458
CUACUGCCGUGUUGCCGGUCAUGCUUAACCAACUUGAUCUCACUUGGUUAUGGCCUCAAAGCAUGAGAGCAGCAGCAGCAGCAGCAGCAGCAAUGAUUCGGAUAUGCCCAAGAGUAACUAUGAAGUAC